AGUGGAUGGCGUGGUGCCAGUAAGAUGGUAUUGAUAUGAUCUAGUCUCAAUUAAGUUAGUCGCAGAAAUGUUCGCAAAAUUUUUGGUUUGGAUACAAAAAACCAAGUGAAAAUAAUACUGGAAAGACUGUUUAUCGUUUAACUCCUGUCCCAAUCUAACCUAGUGGGUUCAAAAAGAAGGGACCGCGCUGGAAACGUGAGUGGAUUA